GGAGAUGUGACGAAAUGGUAGCCGUAACUGUUUGCUAAACAGUCGGGUGAAAAUUCCCGUGCAGGUUCAAGUCCUGUCAUCUCCG
rnacentral:tRNA from 1 species